GACGAACGCUGGCGGCGUGCUUAACACAUGCAAGUCGAACGGAAAGGCCUGCUUUCCCUUGUGGAUUGCGGGUACUCGAGUGGCGAACGGGUGAGUAACACGUGAGUGAUCUGCCCCCAACUUGGGUAUAAGCCUGGGAAACUGGGUCUAAUUCCCGAUAGGACUGCAGGGUGGUGCCUGUGGUGGAAAACGAUUUUCUAGUGGUUGGGGAUGAGCUCGCGGCCUAUCAGCUUGUUGGUGGGGUAAUGGCCUACCAAGGCGGCGACGGGUAGCCGGCCUGAGAGGGUGGACGGCCACAUUGGGACUGAGGUACGGCCCAGACUCCUACGGGAGGCAGCAGUAGGGAAUAUUGCACAAUGGGCGGAAGCCUGAUGCAGCGACGCCGCGUGGGGGAUGACGGCCUUCGGGUUGUAAACUCCUUUCGACCGCGAGGAAGCCACCUGGUUGGAAGGGUGGUGACGGUAGUGGUAGAAGAAGCACCGGCUAACUACGUG
rnacentral:rRNA from 1 species